UUGGAGGGCAAGUCUGGUGCCAGCAGCCGCGGUAAUUCCAGCUCCAAUAGCGUAUAUUAAAGUUGUUGCAGUUAAAAAGCUCGUAGUUGAAUUUUAGGCCUGGCCGGGCGGUCCGUCUUUGGCGAGUACUGUCCUGUGUCGGGUCCACCUUCUGGUGAACCAGUAUGUCCUUUAUUGGGUGUGCCGGGGAGCCAGGACCAUUACCUUGAAAAAAUUAGAGUGUUUAAAGCAGGCAUUUGCUUGAAUAGAUUAGCAUGGAAUAAUAGAAUAGGACGUUGUGGUUCUAUUUUGUUGGUUUCUAGGACCACCGUAAUGAUUAAUAGGGAUAGUUGGGGGCAUUAGUAUUCAAUUGUCAGGGGUGAAAUUCUUGGAUUUAUUGAAGACUAACUAUUGCGAAAGCAUUUGCCAAGGAUGUUUUCAUUAAUCAAGAACGAAAGUUAGGGGAUCGAAGACGAUCAGAUACCGUCGUAGUCUUAACCAUAAACUAUGCCGACUAGGGAUCGGACGAAGUUAAUUUUAUAAUGACGCGUUCGGCACCUUACGGGAAACCAAAGUGUUUGGGUUC
rnacentral:rRNA from 1 species